CUUCUACACGAAAACGAUUUUGAGGAUGAGAACAGAAAGAUGCAUAAAAAAAACAAUAGCGGUAUAUCAAGAGGAAGGGCGCUAGUGCAGGAAAGGCAGAAGUUUGAAAGGAUUGGCAUGAUAAGACGAGAUUCAUCUGGAAAGAUGCAUAAAAAAAACAAUAGCGGUAUAAAGAGGAAGGGCGCUAGUGCAGGAAAGGUAGAAGUUUGAAAGGAUUGGCACGAUAAGACGAGAUUCAUCUGGAAGAUGAGAAUGUCGAUUCGUGGGCGGCCGAUUUAUAUGUUAAUGAAAUGUCCAGUAUCCUGCAAUUUCGCCUUUUUGAUCAACAAGGGAUUGAAUCACUUCAAGGGGGGAACUCCUGGGUUGAGCUUACGAGGACUGUCAUUUCAAGGACGAUCAGUCCGGAUUUGACCGAUGUCGACAGUCUCGCCACGGCCUAUUGUCUUUUUCUGGAGAAGGGCCCGUCGAGUGAGAUAAUGAACGAUGCCCCGAUAAUCCUGCAGCUAUGG
rnacentral:lncRNA from 1 species